GGAAGGAUCAUUAAUUAUGUUAAAGCGCCUUACCUCUUAGGGUUUCCUCUGGGGUAAGUGAUUGCUUCUACACUGUGAAAAUUUGGCUGAGAGACUCAGACUGGUCAUGGGUAGACCUAUCUGGGGUUUGAUCGAUGCCACUCCUGGUUUCAGGAGCACCCUUCAUAAUAAACCUAGAAAUUCAGUAUUAUAAAGUUUAAUAAAAAACAACUUUUAACAAUGGAUCUCUUGGUUCUCGCAUCGAUGAAGAACGUAGCAAAGUGCGAUAACUAGUGUGAAUUGCAUAUUCAGUGAAUCAUCGAGUCUUUGAACGCAGCUUGCACUCUAUGGUUUUUCUAUAGAGUACGCCUGCUUCAGUAUCAUCACAAACCCACACAUAACAUUUGUUUAUGUGGUAAUGGGUCGCAUCGCUGUUUUAUUACAGUGAGCACCUAAAAUGUGUGUGAUUUUCUGUCUGGCUUGCUAGGCAGGAAUAUUACGCUGGUCUCAGGAUCUUUUUCUUUGGUUCGCCCAGGAAGUAAAGUACAAGAGUAUAAUCCAGCAACUUUCAAACUAUGAUCUGAAGUCAGGUGGGAUUACCCGCUGAACUUAAGCAUAUCAAUAAGCGGAGGAAAAGAAAAUAACAAUGAUUUCCCUAGUAACGGCGAGUGAAGAGGAAAGAGCUCAAAGUUGGAACCUGUUUGGCCUAGCUAAACCGGAUUGUAGACUGUAGAAGUGUUUUCCAGGCAAGCCGAGUAAAUAAGUCCUUUGGAACAGGGCAUCAUAGAGGGUGAGAAUCCCGUCUUUGGCUUGAGCAUUUGCCUUUUGUGAUACGCUUUCAAAGAGUCAGGUUGUUUGGGAAUGCAGCCUAAAUUGGGUGGUAAAUCUCACCUAAAGCUAAAUAUUGGCGAGAAACCGAUAGCGAACAAGUACCGUGAGGGAAAGAUGAAAAGAACUUUGAAAAGAGAGUUAAACAGUAUGUGAAAUUGUUAAAAGGGAACCGUUUGGAGCCAGACUGGCUUGUCUGUAAUCAAUCUAGGCUUCGGCCUGGAUGCACUUGCAGGCUAUGCCUGCCAACGACAAUUUGACUUGAGGGAAAAAACUAAGGGAAAUGUGGCCCACUUGUGGGUGUUAUAGUCCCUUAGAAAAUACCUUGGGUUGGAUUGAGGAACGCAGCGAAUGCUUUUUGGCGAGUUUUCCAGGAAGGUUUUCUGAGGUACUACGGUAUCAAGGUUGAUCUUUUUGGUUAUACUUCUAUUCGCUUAGGUUGUUGGCUUAAUGACUCUAAAUGACCCGUCUUGAAACACGGACCAAGGAGUCCACCAUUAGUGCGAGUAUUUGGGUGCCAAACCCAUAUGCGUAAGGAAACUGAUUGAUACGAAUCCAUUAAGGAGGCAGUAUCGUCCGGCGCUGACGUUUUAUACUGAAUUGACCGAGACAAAGCACUAAUGAUGGGACCCGAAAGAUGGUGAACUAUGCCUGAAUAGGGUGAAGCCAGAGGAAACUCUGGUGGAGGCUCGUAGCGAUUCUGACGUGCAAAUCGAUCGUCAAAUUUGGGUAUAGGGGCGAAAGACUAAUCGAACCAUCUAGUAGCUGGUUCCUGC
rnacentral:misc_RNA from 1 species